GCCAUCAAAACACAAAGUAUUUUAUUUGUGACUCCAACCUAGACUUUACUUUUUAAUUCAAACAAUUAAGAAAGAUGGUGAAGAUUGCAAUCAAGAUCUCAUUUGUAAUGAUUCUUCUCGUUUUAGUAGUCACCAAUGGAUUUGGUCUCCCAACAACACCAACAAAUGUGGUGCCUCAACAAAAGGAUUGCCCUGGUGGUUGCAAUUAUCUAAUAAAUGCAUGUUAUCCACUAUUUCCUGCGUGUAAUAAUGGCAGGUGUACAUGUGCAAAGUUAGACGCAAACUAUGUCAUAGAUGGUGAAAAGGAAAACUAGUACCUAGAUGCAAACCAUUAGAAAUAAUUAAUGCUAUAUUAGUUUACCUAUAUUUUAAUAAUAAAAAUAUUGAAAUAUAAUAAUUUGUUAUGACUCAUGAAUGUGAAAUUUGUGUGGUCUUGUGUACUUUUAUAUAUUACCAUGGAAUUAUUAAAUAAAGAAAUAACUUUACAAGU